AAGUCGUAACAAGGUCUCCGUUGGUGAACCAGCGGAGGGAUCAUUAAAGAGUUGCAAAACUCCCUAACCCUAUGUGAAUCAUACCUUCUGUACGUUGCUUCGGCAGGCGACCCCAGGGCGGGGUUUCCGGCCUGGGUCUCCCAGGUGCCUGCCGGAGGAAUAACAAAACUCUGUUUAUUUUUAGUUUGUCUGAGUAAAAAACAAAUAAGUUAAAACUUUCAACAACGGAUCUCUUGGUUCUG
rnacentral:misc_RNA from 1 species